CGUGUACGUAUAUUAUCAGUAUGCUGAUGGGAGGUAUUGGGUGUACUCCCCAAUUCUGGGUCGUAAGAAGCUCAACUCAAGCUCUAGCUGCAAUAAUCAGGAGGACAGGAGCUGGGUGUACUCUCCUCUGCACUACGGCUCAGAGUCCAGACCUGGCUCUGACGGGGAGAGCGAGACAUAAGUUGAGUGGAGUCUCCAAUGUUAGCGAAUCACUUGAGAGGAUCGAAGACUACAGACAGAAGCUGUGAGGCUUUACGAAGCURCAUGAAGCUCUAUGAAGCUUCUACGGCAUUGUGUAACCCUUGUGGCCCAAUCUGCAUGUGAAGGCUUGUUUUACCCACAUGGAGGGAGAAGGAUUCUGUGGGAAAACUUAAUAAAAUGUUAUUUCUCUGCUUUGGCAAACACCUUCCUAACACACACGCACGCUAACACACACGUCUUCACACUCACACACCCUAACGUUGUCCUAUAUAAGUAUGCAACAAUAAUGUUCCCUUUGCCGCAAAAUCAACUCAUAAACAUGAAAGUAUGCAUAAUCUUCAAUGGGAGUAUUUUGAAUAAAACCAUAUUGCAACCCUUUCCAAACAUCAGCUAAGGCUGCCCAGAGAGACUAUCGUACAGUACUUUAGUUGGUCUUGUUGUGUUAAGAAUGAUAUUUGUCUUUUGUUACCUGUGCUUGUCUUUUGUUACUGGUGCUUGUCUUUUGUUAACUGUGCUGUAAUAUCAUGAAUUGAAUAUCAUGUGUUAUAUUGUCACGGUCAGGUUUUGGACUCCUAUGGUUAAAUGUUGGAGAGUUUUGUCUUUUUAUGCAGCAAAACCUUUUUUCUCAGUUUCUAAUGUUUUGUAGCGUUCACUGGUCUGAUGGUGAUGGUUUCAUAUUCAGCUCGAUCAAUAAUGUAAGUUGUGUUAAAGAAUCGUGAACAUUUCUGUCUGGAGUUGUGCUGGGCUCCGUGUUCUCACAGGGCACACUGACGUCUUUCACAAUGGUCAUGAAAACCUGAGCAUUUGAUUUCAUUACUAGCGCUCUAAAACUA